CACGGGGGAGCCGGACUCCAGUCCAGCCCAGGGGAAGGGAGUCGCUGCCUGGAGAAGGGCGCGCCUGGGCAGGGGUGGCGAUUCAUGGGGGUUUCAGGUAAGGGGUGCAGGACUGCUGAGUAUUUUGCCUCCCCAUCUGUAGCAGCGAUUCCUGCUGCUGCAAAGGAGAAAGUGGAAGCUUGAAGUCCUCCACCCCCAACCCCCAGGUUUCUGAGGUCACUGAGCUGGAGAACCCCAUCCCUGCGAGUUUAAACUUGAGCUUCCUGUCCGUGGAGAAUGUUCAAUUGCUGCCAUUACCUGCUCUGCAUAUUUACCUUUCUUG
rnacentral:lncRNA from 1 species